rnacentral:rRNA from 2 species
GUGCGAGACCGAUAGCGAACAAGUACCGUGAGGAAAAGAUGAAAAGAACUUUGAAAAGAGAGUUAAAGAGUACCUGAAACUGCUGAAAGGGAAGCGAAUCGUAUCCAGUGUCUAUAAUCUGCGGCAUAUUUCAUUGGCGGCGGUGCGCGUGCUUUUGCGUCGGAAGCGGCUUUUGUUGCUCUGUGCUUUUGCUGUGCGUGGUGUUGCUGGUGCCCUGUGUUGCGGUGGGACGUCAGAGUCAGUUUGUAUGCUGCGGGAAAUGGCUGCCGAGGAGGUAGGUCGAGAUUUCGGUCUUGGCUGUUAUAUCUUGGUGGUUUGUUGUCGUGGUUGAGACUGAGGUGCCUACAAUGUGCUUUUGAGUGUGCCGGGUUCUCAUUUGGUGGACUGUUUGGAUAGCUUGCUAUGCUUGUGGUUUUUUCAUCGAGUGAUUGAGUCUGGUGGUAACUUGUUGCUGUUCGGGACUUUGA